AUGACUCUGCUGGCUGCUUUGAUUUCCCAUUAUUUGGAAUCUGAUAAAUCAUCAGACAGUUUUGAAGUGUUGACAGUAAAUAAGAUGAAGCAAUACGAAAACUUGCCAUUUCAUGACUUGAUGAAUAAAUUAUGAAGCUGGUUUACAACUAAGAACAUUUGAAAGUAUUAAGGAAGAGCGCAUGGGAACAGACUCAUGUGAUGAAGUGGGAAAUACUAGGAUGAGGGUGCGUUGAUUACAAUGCACUGAAUCAGAAAGGUUGAUGACCGAGGACUGGCUAUAGUAUUAAACUGAAAGCGUAGGAUGAAACCACAAAGCAGAAAAUUUGUAAAUGUUCUGGAUAUAUUUAAAGCAAGAAAACUGAGGAAUCAGCACUGGUUAUCAACGAAUCCCAUGGCUACGAUGUCAACAGGGC
rnacentral:lncRNA from 1 species